GACGAACGCUGGCGGCGUGCUUAACACAUGCAAGUCGAGCGGAAAGGCCCUUCGGGGUACUCGAGCGGCGAACGGGUGAGUAACAGGUGAGUAACCUGCCCUAGUCUUUGGGAUAACGCCGGGAAACCGGGGCUAAUACCGGAUAUGACCUGGUGCUGCUUGGGGUUGGGUGGAAAGUUUUGUCGGCCUGGGAUGGGCUCGCGGCCUAUCAGCUUGUUGGUGGGGUGGUGGCCUACCAAGGCGAUGACGGGUAGCCGGCCUGAGAGGGCGACCGGCCACACUGGGACUGAGACACGGCCCAGACUCCUACGGGAGGCAGCAGUGGGGAAUAUUGCACAAUGGGCGGAAGCCUGAUGCAGCGACGCCGUGUGAGGGAUGAAGGCCUUCGGGUUGUAAACCGCUUUCAGCAGGGACGAAGCGUGAGUGACGGUACCUGCAGAAGAAGCGCCGGCCAACUACGUG
rnacentral:rRNA from 1 species